CAGCCGCCGCGGUAAUACGUAGGGUGCGAGCGUUAAUCGGAAUUACUGGGCGUAAAGCGUGCGCAGGCGGUUGUGUAAGACAGGUGUGAAAUCCCCGGGCUUAACCUGGGAACUGCGCUUGUGACUGCACAGCUAGAGUAUGGCAGAGGGGGGUGGAAUUCCACGUGUAGCAGUGAAAUGCGUAGAGAUGUGGAGGAACAUCAGUGGCGAAGGCGGCCAUCUGGGACAACACUGACGCUGAGGCACGAAAGCGUGGGGAGCAAACAGGAUUAGAUACCCGCGUAGUCCCUGUCUCUUAUAC
rnacentral:rRNA from 1 species